rnacentral:lncRNA from 1 species
UAGAUAAAGUUGACCUUCUUAUAGAUAAAUGCCUAGCCCUAGGUCUACAAUCUCCUGUGCAAUAUACACCACCUUCUAAUUAUCAGGAGAAUUAUUUUAUCUGUGCUAGUCCAACCCAUUAUGUGAGUGAAUGUCCCACGACUGCGCAGUUUUCACCUUUCAUCUAAGAACAAGUUCAAGCUAUCCAAGGUUACUUCAAGCCAGUCAAUGACCCAUUCUUAAACAUAUAUAAUCCA